GACGAACGCUGGCGGCGUGCCUAAUACAUGCAAGUAGAACGCUGAAGGAGGAGCUUGCUUCUCUGGAUGAGUUGCGAACGGGUGAGUAACGCGUAGGUAACCUGCCUGGUAGCGGGGGAUAACUAUUGGAAACGAUAGCUAAUACCGCAUAAGAGUAGAUGUCGCAUGACAUUUGCUUAAAAGGUGCAAUUGCAUCACUACCAGAUGGACCUGCGUUGUAUUAGCUAGUUGGUGAGGUAACGGCUCACCAAGGCAACGAUACAUAGCCGACCUGAGAGGGUGAUCGGCCACACUGGGACUGAGACACGGCCCAGACUCCUACGGGAGGCAGCAGUAGGGAAUCUUCGGCAAUGGACGGAAGUCUGACCGAGCAACGCCGCGUGAGGGAAGAAGGGUUUCGGAUCGUAAAGCUCUGUUGUAAGAGAAGAACGAGUGUGAGAGUGGAAAGUUCACACUGUGACGGUAUCUUACCAGAAAGGGACGGCUAACUACGUG
rnacentral:rRNA from 1 species